GGUCGCCGUGGCCCCGGGAUAUCACCAACGCGACCGAAAUGGAGACGUGGACUCAGAUUUCCAGCGGAAUCGUACACUCUGAAAUGAGUAUAGUAUAGUCUCAGCUCUGAGGAGGUGUCAGUGUGUCUGCCUUAGCCAAGAUAGGCACGAUGUUGACCCGCUGAUGCAAGGCCUUCAUGAAUUCAACGUCCAGUGGCCGGAGCCUGGAGAACAGGAAUCUGUGAUCACCUGCUGGUGGCAGCCCUGCCCCUGGUGCUCUUGGCCUGUUCCCUUGGCAGCACCCAGUGGUGCCAGGAGCCUCAGGCUCAGACCAUACCCGUGGCCGAAGGGCGAGAUGAAGUACAGGCAGCAGUGCACCCUGUUGUCUUGGAUGUUCUUGCGGUUCAGGCCGCUCUCAUCUCGGAAAUACUGCUCAAACUGCUGGUCGAUGUAUUCUGCCACAGGCUUCCAGCUGGGCAGGGACAGACAAGUAGAGAAACGCUGGGGAGUUGGGGCUGCCUUGUGAGCUCUGGGACUGCAGAGAAGUAGCCCACACCCUUAGCAGUGCUUCUAAGACAUUGUUACCCUCUGGCUCACUUGAACUACAUCUUCAGGGAGAUACCUGAGUGGAACAGGAGUACAUCUCACAUGCCCUGAUAGAAAAUUAGACUGAGCAUGCAGGCAGAGUUCAAUAAAUACUAGUUUGGUGAAAGGAAAAGGGUCCAGCUGAACGAACAAAGCAAUAAGAAUAGCAAGGUGGCUGAAGGUGAACACUAAUUGGAAGCAAAGGGAGCCCUAAGCCAAGUUCACAGUCCAGCCUCUGAGCCUUUGUUCAUGUGGCUCCAUGCUCUCCUCACCUCUCCAAACCCACUCCAUCCUUCAAGGCCAUAUCCAAGAACUAUGUCUUCCAGGAAGGCUCCUUUGACUACACCAAUGCACACUGCUCUCCCCCGUCUCUUCACUGCACAAUGAUUGAGGAGGAGGCUACAGUCCAGAAAGCGGGCAUGACAUGCUCAAGGACACAAAACUUUUCCCCCUACGAGUUUUGCACUCAGGAGCUUCCGGUCCUGGUACAGAUCAGUGAGGAAGAGGCUAUUGACAAGGGUGGAUUUACCCAGGCCAGACUCUCCUGACAGGGGACAGAGGGAGAAACACCAAAUCAGAAGGUGAACUAACAUUCCGCUGUAUGGAAACACUGUGGGAAGCUGCCGCCGCCAUCUGAGUUUGCUGGCUCUUUCGGUGAGGAGAGGUUUGGCGGGAUGCUUCUGAUCUUG